rnacentral:rRNA from 1 species
GGGUUGUGAGGUUAAGCGACUAAGCGUACACGGUGGAUGCCCUGGCAGUCAGAGGCGAUGAAGGACGUGCUAAUCUGCGAUAAGCGUCGGUAAGGUGAUAUGAACCGUUAUAACCGGCGAUUUCCGAAUGGGGAAACCCAGUGUGUUUCGACACACUAUCAUUAACUGAAUCCAUAGGUUAAUGAGGCGAACCGGGGGAACUGAAACAUCUAAGUACCCCGAGGAAAAGAAAUCAACCGAGAUUCCCCCAGUAGCGGCGAGCGAACGGGGAGCAGCCCAGAGCCUGAAUCAGUGUGUGUGUUAGUGGAAGCGUCUGGAAAGGCGCGCGAUACAGGGUGACAGCCCCGUACACAAAAAUGCACAUGCUGUGAGCUCGAUGAGUAGGGCGGGACACGUGGUAUCCUGUCUGAAUAUGGGGGGACCAUCCUCCAAGGCUAAAUACUCCUGACUGACCGAUAGUGAACCAGUACCGUGAGGGAAAGGCGAAAAGAACCCCGGCGAGGGGAGUGAAAAAGAACCUGAAACCGUGUACGUACAAGCAGUGGGAGCACGCUUCGGCGUGUGACUGCGUACCUUUUGUAUAAUGGGUCAGCGACUUAUAUUCUGUAGCAAGGUUAACCGAAUAGGGGAGCCGAAGGGAAACCGAGUCUUAACUGGGCGUUAAGUUGCAGGGUAUAGACCCGAAACCCGGUGAUCUAGCCAUGGGCAGGUUGAAGGUUGGGUAACACUAACUGGAGGACCGAACCGACUAAUGUUGAAAAAUUAGCGGAUGACUUGUGGCUGGGGGUGAAAGGCCAAUCAAACCGGGAGAUAGCUGGUUCUCCCCGAAAGCUAUUUAGGUAGCGCCUCGUGAAUUCAUCUCCGGGGGUAGAGCACUGUUUCGGCAAGGGGGUCAUCCCGACUUACCAACCCGAUGCAAACUGCGAAUACCGGAGAAUGUUAUCACGGGAGACACACGGCGGGUGCUAACGUCCGUCGUGAAGAGGGAAACAACCCAGACCGCCAGCUAAGGUCCCAAAGUCAUGGUUAAGUGGGAAACGAUGUGGGAAGGCCCAGACAGCCAGGAUGUUGGCUUAGAAGCAGCCAUCAUUUAAAGAAAGCGUAAUAGCUCACUGGUCGAGUCGGCCUGCGCGGAAGAUGUAACGGGGCUAAACCAUGCACCGAAGCUGCGGCAGCGACGCUUAUGCGUUGUUGGGUAGGGGAGCGUUCUGUAAGCCUGUGAAGGUGUGCUGUGAGGCAUGCUGGAGGUAUCAGAAGUGCGAAUGCUGACAUAAGUAACGAUAAAGCGGGUGAAAAGCCCGCUCGCCGGAAGACCAAGGGUUCCUGUCCAACGUUAAUCGGGGCAGGGUGAGUCGACCCCUAAGGCGAGGCCGAAAGGCGUAGUCGAUGGGAAACAGGUUAAUAUUCCUGUACUUGGUGUUACUGCGAAGGGGGGACGGAGAAGGCUAUGUUGGCCGGGCGACGGUUGUCCCGGUUUAAGCGUGUAGGCUGGUUUUCCAGGCAAAUCCGGAAAAUCAAGGCUGAGGCGUGAUGACGAGGCACUACGGUGCUGAAGCAACAAAUGCCCUGCUUCCAGGAAAAGCCUCUAAGCAUCAGGUAACAUCAAAUCGUACCCCAAACCGACACAGGUGGUCAGGUAGAGAAUACCAAGGCGCUUGAGAGAACUCGGGUGAAGGAACUAGGCAAAAUGGUGCCGUAACUUCGGGAGAAGGCACGCUGAUAUGUAGGUGAAGCGACUUGCUCGUGGAGCUGAAAUCAGUCGAAGAUACCAGCUGGCUGCAACUGUUUAUUAAAAACACAGCACUGUGCAAACACGAAAGUGGACGUAUACGGUGUGACGCCUGCCCGGUGCCGGAAGGUUAAUUGAUGGGGUCAGCGCAAGCGAAGCUCUUGAUCGAAGCCCCGGUAAACGGCGGCCGUAACUAUAACGGUCCUAAGGUAGCGAAAUUCCUUGUCGGGUAAGUUCCGACCUGCACGAAUGGCGUAAUGAUGGCCAGGCUGUCUCCACCCGAGACUCAGUGAAAUUGAACUCGCUGUGAAGAUGCAGUGUACCCGCGGCAAGACGGAAAGACCCCGUGAACCUUUACUAUAGCUUGACACUGAACAUUGAGCCUUGAUGUGUAGGAUAGGUGGGAGGCUUUGAAGUGUGGACGCCAGUCUGCAUGGAGCCGACCUUGAAAUACCACCCUUUAAUGUUUGAUGUUCUAACGUUGACCCGUAAUCCGGGUUGCGGACAGUGUCUGGUGGGUAGUUUGACUGGGGCGGUCUCCUCCUAAAGAGUAACGGAGGAGCACGAAGGUUGGCUAAUCCUGGUCGGACAUCAGGAGGUUAGUGCAAUGGCAUAAGCCAGCUUGACUGCGAGCGUGACGGCGCGAGCAGGUGCGAAAGCAGGUCAUAGUGAUCCGGUGGUUCUGAAUGGAAGGGCCAUCGCUCAACGGAUAAAAGGUACUCCGGGGAUAACAGGCUGAUACCGCCCAAGAGUUCAUAUCGACGGCGGUGUUUGGCACCUCGAUGUCGGCUCAUCACAUCCUGGGGCUGAAGUAGGUCCCAAGGGUAUGGCUGUUCGCCAUUUAAAGUGGUACGCGAGCUGGGUUUAGAACGUCGUGAGACAGUUCGGUCCCUAUCUGCCGUGGGCGCUGGAGAACUGAGGGGGGCUGCUCCUAGUACGAGAGGACCGGAGUGGACGCAUCACUGGUGUUCGGGUUGUCAUGCCAAUGGCACUGCCCGGUAGCUAAAUGCGGAAGAGAUAAGUGCUGAAAGCAUCUAAGCACGAAACUUGCCCCGAGAUGAGUUCUCCCUGACUCCUUGAGAGUCCUGAAGGAACGUUGAAGACGACGACGUUGAUAGGCCGGGUGUGUAAGCGCAGCGAUGCGUUGAGCUAACCGGUACUAAUGAACCGUGAGGCUUAACCUUACAACGCCGAAG